GUUUUCAUGCGAAGUUUGUGGAUGUUUCCGGAUGAUUUUGUUUUUAUUUUAUGGAAAUUGUGCUCAAGAAAGUGAAAAACGGCAAAGCAUUGAAUUUUUAUUCAAUGCAAUGCUACCUUUUAUUCGAGUGACGUGAAGGAAAAUCGUUCAUUUUUUCCAAGGAAUUUGAUCACCCCAGAUGGACUGGAGGAAAGACAGCUCGCAAGGAUUUCAAGAGGAACUAUUCGUGGUAUUAACAAAAGUUACGCUCAGACCUCAUCGACCUGGCCAUCACUUAAGUCGACAAGACUACAAGUUUUCUUGAAGGAAAUAGUCCAGGAUCUGAAGCUAGAAUCCGGCUGAACAACAUUGGAAAACAUAAAUGCGACAUAAAAGCCGGGAAUCCCUAUCACGCACAAUCAGUUUAGCAGAAAGUAAAUUGAGGCUCAUGUCGGGAUAAGUGAGAUGAAAAUACAAUUUAUUCCAGAAACAGUUGCACGGAAAAAGCCACUGAAGUCUCUGAAAGUUGUGCAGGCAUCAUUCCCAUUGCAUCAGGAAGAUUCUAAAGAAUCUUAGAAAAUUCUUUUUCAACACCCGGCUAAUCUUUGGUUUAGACUCCUAAAUGAAAUCAAGCAUCAGCUGGAUGUUGAAAAGGACGUUGCUAAGAUCCCUUAUAAACCUCUUGAUGCAAUAGGAAGGAUGCCUGCAAAACUUUCAGAAACUUACGGCUUUUUCCGGGAACACAUUUAACCAUGAAUUUCAGUAAGUUUAAAAUAUUUGCAGCUCAACUAUUCAUCUUCCUGUGCGGGGAUUCAGAGGUUCUCCUUAAGCUCAUCUGCUCACCAAACCCACAGGAGAUUUUAAAGCAGUAGCUGAACAGCAAUUUGCAGUCAAGGAUCUUCCAGAGUAUAAUGGAUCGCUGAUCCUCCUUUUAUCUCAGCUUUGGAUUUGGACUUUUUGCCGCAAUUUAUGGCCCGGAAUAGAUGACGAGUGAAGACAUCAAUACAGAAGGAAAACUAUCAAUUUGAUUUUCUAUGUUCAAAGUAUUAUUUAUUUUAGUUUAUGUUUUACAAAAAUACUCUAUUAACAAUUUUUUUUUAAAUUUAAUAAAGAAUAAAAUUUAAUAAAGAGUGAA